UGCCCAGUGCAAUAAUCCUUACCUGUUCCUCCUCUGGGAGGGCAGAGUAGAACAUGAUGAUGAGAAAAAAAUUGAGAGGCUCUGACUGACUCAAGUUGGAGUUGGGCUGGCAAUGACUUGCCACCGACCAGCCUAUAACUGGU
rnacentral:snoRNA from 1 species